rnacentral:piRNA from 2 species
UCUGAGGCCCGCAGUUUUGGAAGAGG